CAAGAUGAUGAUUUGACACAUUCACAUUCACAACAAAUUUCAAUGCUUUUCAGUUCACAAGUCCAAAAAAGUUUCUGCAAAGUUUCCAUUAAUAUAAGGUACUACUACUUCAUAACAUAUUUUACAAAUUCCAGGAGGAACAACUAACUACAUUUAGCCUCGAGGUAGCUUUCAUCAUAAGGUGGCUCCUAUUUGGAUGUGAGAUAAGCUUGUUUUUGGAAUCCUCCCCUUGAAAUGGCUAUCUAGUCUCCAUAAUCUUCGAGGUUAUUGACACGUUCACAUUCAUCUAUCCAUUCGCUAUAUCUGCACCAUAGAAUUCAGACUAGUUAGUUGAUAAUAAUGGAGAAAAAUGUUUUAAAAAUAGUCGACAAUUUAGAACAUAGCAGAAUGAUGUUUCAACAUACUUACAUGUCUAUAGGCUCAGUCAAAGCUGCAGAAAAGAAAAAAGAAGAAAAUAACAAUUGUCAGGUGAAAAAAUGCAAGAGAAGCAGAGUUGAGAGCCAUUGAACACCACAAUUUCACAAGAGAUCACACAUCCUCUAAAAUUAUCCUAAUUCACUAAAAAAAAUUCACAGGACCGUACACUGCUCCGUAAGUGUACUGAUUACCACUUCCAGCAAAAAACUCUACCUAAUUUGAUUUGAUCCAC
rnacentral:lncRNA from 1 species